AACAAAUCAAGCUCCUUUGGUUAAACCGUUUAGGAGCUCAUUGAUCUCUUCGCGUUCUGAGGAAUCUCACUUGAGGUCCCAGGCUUCUAGGAUGACACACAGAAUGAGCGUGUUCUCAAACAUGAGGACCGGAACUCUGGAUCUGCCGAUGUUUCCUUGAAGUGGAUGUCACUCACAGGAGCAACUUUGAUGAAAUGCACAGCACUGCAUCCAGGAGAGGGACUGUCCUUGAAGCCCACAGAACAGACUUCUGGCUCCCAUUUGAUCGCAAUUUUUACGGAACUUAGAUCAGCUUUGUCAGGAAAUGGAGAGACUGUCACUUUGAUCAGAGCGUGGGGUAACACCUCCCUGCCCAGGCCUUUAGGACUGUUGAGUGAGAAGUGUUUAGAAAAUCAAGCAAGAGGAAGAAAAUGGCUGAGUACUACAUAGCAGACAUCGUAUUAACCAUCAGCACGAUCAAUCUCCUUUCCAUGUUAUUGGGACUGUAGGGAAUUUUUUUACAUGGCAGGAAUGAGGAAAUCAACUCAACAAAAUUUUGCUUCACACUUUAAUAACGGCAGCAUGGGAAGCACCAAUUUAGCUACUUAUUGCGGACUUUUGUCAUCCUGAGCAAUAAACUGCGGUCUUUUCAGAGACA
rnacentral:lncRNA from 1 species